GCUCCGUAGGUGAACCUGCGGAGGGAUCAUUACAGAGUUCAUGCCCUACCGGGUAGAUCUCCCACCCUAUGUUAUUAUUACUUUGUUGCUUUGGCGGGCCGUUAGGCUCCGGCCCGACUACCGGCCCCGGCUGGUAAGCGCCCGCCAGAGGACCCAAAACCCUGAAUAUUAGUGUCGUCUGAGAACUAUAUAAUAGUUAAAACUUUCAACAACGGAUCUCUUGGUUCUG
rnacentral:misc_RNA from 1 species